AUUGAACGCUAGCGGGAUGCCUUACACAUGCAAGUCGAACGGCAGCACGGACUUCGGUCUGGUGGCGAGUGGCGAACGGGUGAGUAAUGUAUCGGAACGUGCCCAGUAGCGGGGGAUAACUACGCGAAAGCGUAGCUAAUACCGCAUACGCCCUACGGGGGAAAGCAGGGGAUCGCAAGACCUUGCACUAUUGGAGCGGCCGAUAUCGGAUUAGCUAGUUGGUGGGGUAACGGCUCACCAAGGCGACGAUCCGUAGCUGGUUUGAGAGGACGACCAGCCACACUGGGACUGAGACACGGCCCAGACUCCUACGGGAGGCAGCAGUGGGGAAUUUUGGACAAUGGGGGAAACCCUGAUCCAGCCAUCCCGCGUGUGCGAUGAAGGCCUUCGGGUUGUAAAGCACUUUUGGCAGGAAAGAAGCGUCGCGGGUUAAUACCUCGCGAAACUGACGGUACCUGCAGAAUAAGCACCGGCUAACUACGUG
rnacentral:rRNA from 1 species